rnacentral:sRNA from 1 species
UUGCCGAAAGACGAGUCCCCUGAGUAGGA